rnacentral:rRNA from 1 species
UACGGGGGGGCAAGCGUUGUUCGGAAUUACUGGGCGUAAAGGGCUCGUAGGCGGCCAACUAAGUCGGAUGUGAAAUCCCCAGGCUUAACCUGGGAACUGCAUCCGAUACUGGACGGCUUGAAUCCGGGAGAGGGAUGCGGAAUUCCAGGUGUAGCGGUGAAAUGCGUAGAUAUCUGGAGGAACACCGGUGGCGAAGGCAGCUCGCUGGGACGGUACUGACGCUGAGGCGCGAAAGCGUGGGGAGCAAACAGG